UACGGAGGGUGCAAGCGUUAUCCGGAUUCACUGGGUUUAAAGGGUGUGUAGGCGGGUUUUUAAGUCAGUGGUGAGAUCUCCGGGCUCAACCCGGAAACUGCCAUUGAUACUAUUUAUCUUGAAUAUUGUUGAGGUAGGCGGAAUAUAUCAUGUAGCGGUGAAAUGCUUAGAUAUGAUAUAGAACACCGAUUGCGAAGGCAGCUUACUAAACAAUUAUUGACGCUGAGGCACGAAAGCGUGGGGAUCAAACAGG
rnacentral:rRNA from 1 species